AAAAUUAUUAAUUUCAUCAAUGAUUGCUUACAGAUGUCUCAUCCUCGAGAUCAUUAUCAAAAGCUUUUGUUAUUAUCUUUAGUUUUUCUUGGUAGUUGUCCAACCUAUACGUACACUUUCAAGCGUCCUGGUGCUAAAUUU